CUCGUAGUUGGAUUUCUGUUGUAUAAUCUAUAAUAUUACUAAGGUAUAUAUUAUAUUAUCAACAUCCUUCCUAUUAUAUUUCUAAAUAUAUAGGAAACUUUACUUUGAGAAAAUUAGAGUGCUUAAAGCAGGCAACUGCCUUGAAUACUCCAGCAUGGAAUAAUAAGUAAGGACUUUU
rnacentral:rRNA from 1 species